rnacentral:rRNA from 1 species
CCUUCGGGUGGCAGCAGUGGGGAAUAUUGGACAAUGGGGGCAACCCUGAUCCAGCCAUGCCGCGUGUGUGAAGAAGGCCCUCGGGUUGUAAAGCACUUUCAGUGAGGAAGAACGCCUGGUGGUUAAUACCCAUCAGGAAAGACAUCACUCACAGAAGAAGCACCGGCUAACUCCGUGCCAGCAGCCGCGGUAAUACGGAGGGUGCGAGCGUUAAUCGGAAUUACUGGGCGUAAAGCGCGCGUAGGUGGCUUGAUAAGCCGGUUGUGAAAGCCCCGGGCUCAACCUGGGAACGGCAUCCGGAACUGUCAAGCUAGAGUGCAGGAGAGGAAGGUAGAAUUCCCGGUGUAGCGGUGAAAUGCGUAGAGAUCGGGAGGAAUACCAGUGGCGAAGGCGGCCUUCUGGACUGACACUGACACUGAGGUGCGAAAGCGUGGGUAGCAAACAGGAUUAGAUACCCUAGUAGUC